rnacentral:rRNA from 1 species
CAGCAGCCGCGGGAAUACAGAGGGUGCGAGCGUUAAUCGGAUUUACUGGGCGUAAAGCGUGCGUAGGCGGCUUCUUAAGUCGGAUGUGAAAUCCCUGAGCUUAACUUAGGAAUUGCAUUCGAUACUGGGAAGCUAGAGUAUGGGAGAGGAUGGUAGAAUUCCAGGUGUAGCGGUGAAAUGCGUAGAGAUCUGGAGGAAUACCGAUGGCGAAGGCAGCCAUCUGGCCUAAUACUGACGCUGAGGCACGAAAGCUAGGGGAGCAAACAGGAUUAGAUACCCGCGUAGUCCCUGUCUCUUAUAA